rnacentral:lncRNA from 1 species
AACCUCUGACCCCUAACCUCUAAUACCUGACUGUCUGGUCAUCACAUUGAUGUAACUUUAUGGUACCACUGGUGUCCCUUCAGUCCCAUUGAAGCCUAUAAUAACUCCCUGUUACACUGCACACAUCCAAAAACACACAACCAACCCUAGUGAAAACUAGUCUGCUUCUGAAAUGGCCCCCUACCAGGGCCCGUAGGGCUCUGCUUAAAAGUAGUGCACUAUAUAGGGAAUAAGCCAUUUCAGAAGCAGUUCUAGUUGACCUAUAUACUACUACGCUAGGCAGCUAAAGAACAAUCACAAGGUCAAACACGUUUCACUAAUAAAUAACACAGAGCUGCUAUUCAUGUAAAGUACAACAACAUGGGCUGAUAAAUAAUACAUAUAGCUGCUAUUCAUGUAAAGUACAACAACAUGGGCUGAUAAAUAAUACACAGAGCUGCUAUUCAUGUAAAGUACAACAACAUGGGCUGAUAAUAAAUACACAGAGCUGCUAUUCAUGUAAAGUACAACAACAUGGGCUGAUAAAUAAUACAUAUAGCUGCUAUUCAUGUAAAGUACAACAACAUGGGCUGAUAAUAAAUACACAGAGCUGCUAUUCAUGUAAAGUACAACAACAUGGGCUGAUAAUAAAUAACACAGAGCUGCUAUUCAUGUAAAGUACAACAACAUGGGCUGAUAAUAAAUACACAGAGCUGCUAUUCAUGUAAAGUACAACAACAUGGGCUGAUAAUAAAUAACAUUAUAUAGCUGCUAUUCAUGUAAAGUACAACAACAUGGGCUGAUAAAUAAUACAUAUUGCUGCUAUUCAUGUAAAGUACAACAACAUGGGCUGAUAAUAAAUACAUAGAGCUGCUAUUCAUGUAAUAAUAAUAAUAAAUAUCCCAAAAACAUGGGCUGUUUUGACUAAACAUGAAUUUAGAAUCUUCACAGUAAGUUAACAAAAACUAUGGACAGACACUCCUCCCUUCAUUACCAGAAAUAUCCGGCCCGUAUUCCCUCCUCCUUCCUCCGGCCCGUAUUCC